UACGGAGGGUGCGAGCGUUGUCCGGAAUCACUGGGCGUAAAGGGCGCGUAGGUGGCCUCUUAAGUGUGUGGUGAAAGCCCGGGGCUCAACCCCGGGUCGGCCAUGCAAACUGGGGGGCUUGAGCACUGUAGAGGCAGGCGGAAUUCCGGGUGUAGCGGUGGAAUGCGUAGAGAUCCGGAAGAACACCGGUGGCGAAGGCGGCCUGCUGGGCAGUAGCUGACACUGAGGCGCGACAGCGUGGGGAGCAAACAGG
rnacentral:rRNA from 1 species